GAUGAACGCUGGCGGCGUGCUUAACACAUGCAAGUCGAACGAACGACUAUUAACAGAACCUUUCGGGGCGAAGAUGAUAGAAGUUAGUGGCGGACGGGUGCGUAACGCGUGGGUAAUCUGCCUUUGUCAAAGGAAUAACUAUUCGAAAGAAUAGCUAAAACCAUAUAACAUAUUAAUAGGGCAUCCUAAUAAUAUCAAAACGAUAGUGGACAAAGAUGAGCCCGCGUCUGAUUAGCUAGUUGGUGAGAUAAAAGCCCACCAAGGCAACGAUCAGUAGCCGACCUGAGAGGGUGAACGGCCACAUUGGAACUGAGACACGGUCCAAACUCCUACGGGAGGCAGCAGUGGGGAAUAUUGCACAAUGGGGGGAACCCUGAUGCAGCAACGCCGCGUGAGUGAAGAAGGCAUUCGUGUCGUAAAACUCUGUAGUAGGGGAAGAAAGAAAUGACAGUACCCUAAAAGAAAGCCCCGGCUAACUACGUGCCAGCAGCCGCGGUAAUACGUAGGGGGCAAGCGUUAUCCGGAAUAACUGGGCGUAAAGGGUGCGCAGGUGGUUUAACAAGUUAGUGGUGAAGGGCAUAGGCUCAACCAAUGUAAGCCAUUAAAACUGUUUAACUUGAGUGCAGGAGAGGAAAGUGGAAUUCCUAGUGUAGCGGUGAAAUGCGUAGGUAUUAGGAGGAAUACCAGUGGCGAAGGCGACUUUCUGGACUGCAACUGACACUGAGGCACGAAAGCGUGGGGGAGCAAACAGG
rnacentral:rRNA from 1 species